ACAAAGACAUGGAAGAGGAAUAGUAAGGAUUCUGUCCUUUUAAGAGAGCCGCCGGGUGGUGUGAGGCGGUAAGGAUAAAUCCCCAACUCGCCUUGGAGUCCUCCGGGGGAACCACUUGAAAAAGGAAGUAGUCCGGAGCGGGAGUUCCCGUUACAGAAUCAUAAGUGCGCGUCAGGCUGCGGAGGAAGGGAUUUUUCUUUCGGGCACCAUGAUGCGAAUUAGAGUGGUACCACGGAAAAGAAGCCCUUUCGUCUCUAAG
rnacentral:ncRNA from 1 species